rnacentral:rRNA from 1 species
UACGAAGGGGGCUAGCGUUGUUCGGAAUUACUGGGCGUAAAGCGCACGUAGGCGGAUCGAUCAGUCAGGGGUGAAAUCCCAGAGCUCAACUCUGGAACUGCCUUUGAUACUGUCGAUCUAGAGUAUGGAAGAGGUGAGUGGAAUUCCAGGUGUAGCGGUGAAAUGCGUAGAUAUCUGGAGGAACACCGGUGGCGAAGGCGGCAUCCUGGACCGACACUGACGCUGAGGCGCGAAAGCUAGGGGAGCAAACGGG